rnacentral:rRNA from 1 species
UACAGAGGUCUCAAGCGUUGUUCGGAUUCAUUGGGCGUAAAGGGUGCGUAGGCGGCGCGGUAAGUCGGGUGUGAAAUUUCGAGGCUUAACUCCGAAACUGCAUUCGAUACUACCGUGCUUGAGGACUGGAGAGGAGACUGGAAUUUACGGUGUAGCGGUGAAAUGCGUAGAUAUCGUAAGGAAGACCAGUGGCGAAGGCGGGUCUCUGGACAGUUCCUGACGCUGAGGCACGAAGGCCAGGGGAGCAAACGGG